rnacentral:rRNA from 1 species
GCGCACCAGGCGCGAAACCUCCGCAAUGCGGGAAACCGCGACGGGGGACCCCGAGUGCCGUGGCAACGCCACGGCUUUUCCGGAGUGUAAAAAGCUCCGGGAAUAAGGGCUGGGCAAGGCCGGUGGCAGCCGCCGCGGUAAUACCGGCGGCCCGAGUGGUGGCCGGCUAUUAUUGGGGCCUAAAGCGUCCGUAGCCGGGCCCGUAAGUCCCCUGGGCGAAAAGUCCCACGGCUCAACCGUGGGGCUUGCUGGGGAUACUGCGGGUCUUGGGGACCGGGAGAGGCGGGGGGUACCCCUGGGGGUAGGGGGUGGAAAUCCCUAUAAUCCCCAGGGGGACCGCCAGUGGCGAAGGCGCCCCGCUGGAAC